UACGAAGGGGGCUAGCGUUGCUCGGAAUCACUGGGCGUAAAGGGUGCGUAGGCGGGUCUUUAAGUCAGGGGUGAAAUCCUGGAGCUCAACUCCAGAACUGCCUUUGAUACUGAAGAUCUUGAGUCCGGGAGAGGUGAGUGGAACUGCGAGUGUAGAGGUGAAAUUCGUAGAUAUUCGCAAGAACACCAGUGGCGAAGGCGGCUCACUGGUCCAUUACUGACGCUGAGGUGCGAAAGCGUGGGGAGCAAACAGG
rnacentral:rRNA from 1 species